rnacentral:rRNA from 1 species
GAAAAGCCCGGGCUCAAACCUCGGAAACUGCAUUUGAAAACUGGCAGACUAGAGUACUGUAGAGGGGGUAGAAUUUCAGGUGUAGCGGUGAAAAUGCGUAGAGAUCUGAAGGAAUACCGGUGGCGAAGGCGGCCCCUGGACAGAUACUGACACUCAGAUGCGAAAGCGUGGGGAGCAAACAGGAUUAGAUACCCUGGUAG